CGCGGGGUGGAGCAGCCCGGUAGCUCGUCAGGCUCAUAACCUGAAGGUCGCAGGUUCAAAUCCUGCCCCCGCAAC
rnacentral:tRNA from 1 species